rnacentral:rRNA from 1 species
AGUCGAACGGCAGCGCGGGGCAACCUGGCGGCGAGUGGCGAACGGGUGAGUAAUAUAUCGGAACGUACCCAGAAGUGGGGGAUAACGUAGCGAAAGUUACGCUAAUACCGCAUACGAUCUACGGAUGAAAGUGGGGGCUCGCAAGACCUCAUGCUUUUGGAGCGGCCGAUAUCUGAUUAGCUAGUUGGUAGGGUAAAGGCCUACCAAGGCGACGAUCAGUAGCUGGUCUGAGAGGACGACCAGCCACACUGGGACUGAGACACGGCCCAGACUCUUACGGGAGGCAGCAGUGGGGAAUUUUGGACAAUGGGCGCAAGCCUGAUCCAGCAAUGCCGCGUGAGUGAAGAAGGCCUUCGGGUUGUAAAGCUCUUUUGUCAGGGAAGAAACGGUCUGGGUUAAUACCCUGGGCUAAUGACGGUACCUGAAGAAUAAGCACCGGCUAACUACGUGCCAGCAGCCGCGGUAAUACGUAGGGUGCAAGCGUUAAUCGGAAUUACUGGGCGUAAAGCGUGCGCAGGCGGUUUUGUAAGUCUGACGUGAAAUCCCCGGGCUUAACCUGGGAAUUGCGUUGGAGACUGCAAGGCUGGAGUCUGGCAGAGGGGGGUAGAAUUCCACGUGUAGCAGUGAAAUGCGUAGAGAUGUGGAGGAACACCGAUGGCGAAGGCGGCCCCCUGGGUCAAGACUGACGCUCAUGCACGAAAGCGUGGGGAGCAAACAGGAUUAGAUACCCUGGUAGUCCACGCCCUAAACGAUGUCUACUAGUUGUCGGGUCUUAAUUGACUUGGUAACGCAGCUAACGCGUGAAGUAGACCGCCUGGGGAGUACGGUCGCAAGAUUAAAACUCAAAGGAAUUGAC